rnacentral:tRNA from 1 species
UGUCUUGUAGUAUAUACUCUAUUACUGUAAACUGCAACUUUACCUAAACUUUUGGUCAAGACAU